GAUGAACGCUGGCGGCGUGCCUAAUACAUGCAAGUCGAGCGAACAGACGAGGAGCUUGCUCCUCUGACGUUAGCGGCGGACGGGUGAGUAACACGUGGAUAACCUACCUAUAAGACUGGGAUAACUUCGGGAAACCGGAGCUAAUACCGGAUAAUAUAUUGAACCGCAUGGUUCAAUAGUGAAAGACGGUUUUGCUGUCACUUAUAGAUGGAUUCGCGCCGCAUUAGCUAGUUGGUAAGGUAACGGCUUACCAAGGCAACGAUGCGUAGCCGACCUGAGAGGGUGAUCGGCCACACUGGAACUGAGACACGGUCCAGACUCCUACGGGAGGCAGCAGUAGGGAAUAUUCCGCAAUGGGCGAAAGCCUGACGGAGCAACGCCGCGUGAGUGAUGAAGGUCUUCGGAUCGUAAAACUCUGUUAUUAGGGAAGAAAAAAUGUGUAAGUAACUAUGCACGUCUUGACGGUACCUAAUCAGAAAGCAACGGCUAACUACGUG
rnacentral:rRNA from 1 species